AAACUUUGCAAUGUGCGAAAGCACGACAAGGUUAAUCCGAGUGAUNUGUGCUAAACGGAAUCUUUUGUUAGUUCCUAGAGANCACUAACGAAUAA
rnacentral:rRNA from 1 species